rnacentral:tRNA from 1 species
AACUUACUGAUUUUAAACGCAAGUUAAUGUUUUUGCUAUAGUGAAAAUGGUAUAAUUUCGGACGCGGGUUCAACUCCCGCCAGCUCCACCA